AACACCACGGAUUUGGUGAACUUCAGGAAGAAGAAACGGUUAUUCAGGAUGAAUAGUCGGGCAUGGAAUGCAAAACUGGACAUUGAACGGAAUCAAUAGCGGCUAGGAUGGUUGCUACUAAGGACGGGAAAUGGACACCUCUGGACGAGGCAAGGACUGAACAUCAGGAUGAUGUCAUGGACACCGCUCAGGGAACAAGUGAUGAGAGCUAACGAGGAUAGUUAGCAGACCAGGAUAAGGUCAUCAAGGACACCGCUAGGAAGGCGACGAAAGGAUUAAGCUGAAGGAAUACAGCACGCUAUCAAGGAUUCGAUGCAAGGAGCACUUUUUAGUAGCUGGAUUGCUGCGAGUAAGACUAUAACCCCGAUGGGCGCAAGCCCUCGGGGUUUUUCUUUUU
rfam:Vibrio parahaemolyticus RIMD 2210633 DNA, chromosome 1, complete sequence.